AUGGAAAGGCGGGGCCCGCUGAAAGAAGGCGACCCGAGUUCUGCUACUUCCUAGUAAGGGACGUCUCUGGAGAGAUUCUGAGGUGUUUGAGAGGGCCUCUCUGGAGCCAGUUCCAGGCCACCCAUGGGCCUUGGCCCCGCCCCCUACUCAUGGCUGGCAGAUUCGUGGCCCCACCCAUCUCGAAGCCCCUCGGCCCAGGAACCCAGGGGAAGCUGCUGCCCUAGCAAUCCUGACCCGGACGACAGAUAUUACAACGCUCAGAGCCAGAGGAGUGGUGCCUGCCAAUGCCUGAGAGAAGUCACCUGACGGAACCCAGCUCCAGUGGAGGGUGCCUGGUCACUCCAUCCCGAAGGGAAACCCCCUCUCCCACACCUUCCUAUGGACAGCAGUCCACAGCCACUCUUACACCCUCACCUCCUGACCCUCCCCAGCCCCCAAAUGACAUGCCCCAUCUCCAUCAGAUGCCCAGGAGGGUGCCCCUUGGGCCGAGUUCCCCUCUCAGUGUAUCCCAGCCCAUGCUGGGCAUCCGUGAAGGGAGGCCUGCUGGCUUGGGUGCUGGCCCUGCAGCCUCACCCCACCUCAGCCCCAGUCCUGCCCCUAGCACAGCCAGCAGUGCCCCAGGCAGAACCUGGCAGGGGAAUGGGGAGAUGACUCCCCCACUUCAAGGACCCCGUGCUCGAUUCCGGAAGAAACCCAAGGCUCUUCCCUACAGGAGGGAGAACAGUCCUGGGGACUUGCCCCCACCACCCUUGCCACCGCCAGAGGAAGAGGCGAGCUGGGCCCUAGAGCUGAGGGCAGCAGGCAGCAUGUCCUCCCUGGAGCGGG
rnacentral:sRNA from 1 species